AAGUCGUUACAAGGUUUCCGUGAGGUAGCAACCUGGCAGGGAAUGGAUUACAAUUUAAAGAAUUAGGCGCAUUCGCGGCCAAGUUCUCACCCUUUGUAUACCGAAACCAUGUUGCUUUGGCAGGCCCCUGCAUUUCUCGGGCCUGCCAGAGGUUAUAAACCCUAGAAUCUCUGCUGUCUGAGUACUAUACAAUAGUUAAAA
rnacentral:misc_RNA from 1 species